GAACGGGUGAGUAACACGUGGGAAACCUACCUCUUAGCAGGGGAUAACAUUUGGAAACAGAUGCUAAUACCGUAUAACAAUGACAACCGCAUGGUUGUUAUUUAAAAGAUGGUUCUGCUAUCACUAAGAGAUGGUCCCGCGGUGCAUUAGCUAGUUGGUAAGGUAAUGGCUUACCAAGGCAAUGAUGCAUAGCCGAGUUGAGAGACUGAUCGGCCACAAUGGGACUGAGACACGGCCCAUACUCCUACGGGAGGCAGCAGUAGGGAAUCUUCCACAAUGGGCGAAAGCCUGAUGGAGCAACGCCGCGUGUGUGAUGAAGGGUUUCGGCUCGUAAAACACUGUUGUAAGAGAAGAAUGACAUUGAGAGUAACUGUUCAAUGUGUGACGGUAUCUUACCAGAAAGGAACGGCUAAAUACGUGCCAGCAGCCGCGGUAAUACGUAUGUUCCAAGCGUUAUCCGGAUUUAUUGGGCGUAAAGCGAGCGCAGACGGUUAUUUAAGUCUGAAGUGAAAGCCCUCAGCUCAACUGAGGAAUUGCUUUGGAAACUGGAUGACUUGAGUGCAGUAGAGGAAAGUGGAACUCCGUGUGUAGCGGUGAAAUGCGUAGAUAUAUGGAAGAACACCAGUGGCGAAAGCGGCUUUCUGGACUGUAACUGACGUUGAGGCUCGAAAGUGUGGGUAGCAAACAGGAUUAGAUACCCUGGUAGUCCACACCGUAAACGAUGAGUGCUAGGUGUUUGAGGGUUUCCGCCCUUAAGUGCCGUA
rnacentral:rRNA from 1 species